rnacentral:rRNA from 1 species
GUACUUUGAAGAGAGAGUUCAAGAGGACGUGAAACCGGUAGGAUGGAAACGGAUCGAGCCAACGAACAAGCCCGUAUUCAGCUAGUCGGCUGCGCGCGGCAUGCCUGUGUGCUCGGUCAGAGGGCACGGGUGUGUUGACUAUGCGUGCGGUUGCCUAGUGCAUUUGCGGGUAAUGUGCGCUGAGGCGUGUGGUGGAGUCCUGGAAACCGUCUUGGAGAGGUCAUGCCUUUGGGUCUGAAACCCACGGACGGCUAGUAGGGUUUCUGCUGCACGUAGCAAAUACGGCUAGGUUGACUGUUCGCGCUGUUUGUGCUACCUGGCUAGCCACUUGGUCGAUCGCAUGCGAUUGGAUCUCGUGUGUUGGUCCUGGUUGUGCUACAGUGCCCUAGCUGGUCCUCGGUGUAAAAGUUGGUCAUCUCUCCGACCCGUCUUGAAACACGGACCAAGGAGUCUAGCGUAUACGCGAGUCAUUGGGUGGAAAACCCAUAGGCGCAAUGAAAGUGAAGGUCUCUUUCUGAGGCUGAUAUGCGACCCGGGAGCACUUCGGUGCACUCGGAGCAGCAUAGCCCCGUCUCGACUGCUUGCAGUGGGGCGGAGGUAGAGCGUAUUCGCUGGUACCCGAAAGAUGGUGAACUAUGCCUGAGCAGGAUGAAGCCAGAGGAAACUCUGGUGGAGGUCCGAAGCGCUUCUGACGUGCAAAUCGAUCGUCUGACUGGGAGGGGCAAAA